rnacentral:rRNA from 1 species
AGCAAUGGGCAUUUGCGAGUGCUGCAUGGUUGUCGUCAGCUCGUGUCGUGAGAUGUUGGGUUAAGUCCCGCAACGAGCGCAACCCCUGUCUCUAGUUACCAUCAUUAAGUUGGGGACUCUAGAGAUACUGCCAAGGUUAAUUUGGAGGAAGGUGGGGAUGACGUCAAGUCCUCAUGGCCUUUAUGUCCAGGGCUACACACGUGCUACAAUGGACGGUACAGAGGGUAGCGAUAUCGCGAGAUGGAGCCAAUCCCAAAAAGCCGUUCCCAGUUCGGAUUGGAGUCUGCAACUCGACUCCAUGAAGUUGGAAUCGCUAGUAAUCGCGGAUCAGCAUGCCCGCGGUCCGAAUACGUUCCGGGCCUU